GAUGCCCUGGCAGUCAGAGGCGAUGAAGGACGUGCUAAUCUGCGAUAAGCGCCGGUAAGGUGAUAUGAACCGUUAUAACCGGCGAUUUCCGAAUGGGGAAACCCAGUGUGAUUCGUCACACUAUCAUUAACUGAAUCCAUAGGUUAAUGAGGCGAACCGGGGGAACUGAAACAUCUAAGUACCCCGAGGAAAAGAAAUCAACCGAGAUUCCCCCAGUAGCGGCGAGCGAACGGGGAGGAGCCCAGAGCCUGAAUCAGCAUGUGUGUUAGUGGAAGCGUCUGGAAAGGCGCGCGAUACAGGGUGACAGCCCCGUACACAAAAGCGCAUGUGCUGUGAGCUCGAUGAGUAGGGCGGGACACGUGGUAUCCUGUCUGAAUAUGGGGGGACCAUCCUCCAAGGCUAAAUACUCCUGACUGACCGAUAGUGAACCAGUACCGUGAGGGAAAGGCGAAAAGAACCCCGGCGAGGGGAGUGAAAAAGAACCUGAAACCGUGU
rnacentral:rRNA from 1 species